rnacentral:lncRNA from 1 species
UUUUUCUUCACUUUUUAUGUUUUUCAAGUGCUAAAAUUACUUUGAUACCAGGAAGGUGAUGAAGCAAUUUGCAGUGGAGUUAAAGAAGCUGGCUGAGAAACUUUUGGACAUACUGUGUGAGAAUCUUGGGUUGGAACAGGGUUACCUGAAGAAAGUGUUUUAUGGUUCCAAAGGGCCAACUUUUGGUACCAAAGUUAGCAACUACCCUCCAUGCCCUAAACCAGACCUAAUCAAGGGGCUAAGGGCUCACACUGAUGCUGGUGGAAUCAUAUUACUCUUCCAAGAUGACAAGGUCAGUGGGCUUCAACUCCUCAAGGAUGACCAAUGGAUUGAUGUCCCUCCAUUAAAACACUUCAUUGUCAUCAACCUUGGUGACCAACUUGAGGUGAUCAGCAAUGGCAAGUACAAGAGUGUGAUGCACCGUGUGCUGGCUCAAACAGAUGGGACCCGAAUGUCCAUUGCUUCCUUUUACAAUCCUGGAAGUGAUGCUGUUAUAUAUCCAGCACCUGCUUUGGUGGACAAAGAAGCUAAGAAACCCAUUGCGUACCCAAAAUUCAUGUUCGAGGACUACAUGAAGGUUUACCCCUCCUUGAAGUUCGAAGACAAGGAGCCGAGGUUCGAAGCCAUGAAGACCAUGGAAUCCGCCGUUAGCUUGGGUCCUAUUGCAACUGUUUGAACCACCCAUUUAGAUCAAUGGGUUUAAUAUAUAGUUUGUUUUUGUUGAUAAACUAAGUCUGAUAAAUGCUCUGAUGGAUCCAUCCUGUAAUAUUUGACACUUAUGAAAUUAAUAAAUAAAUGAAGUUUUAUUAGAAUUAUACUUAAAGAUUGUUAAAACUACUUUUAUUCAAAAUAAUAAUUUUAUUAGUAAAAAUAAAAAAAAUAUACAUCUCUUUUUUAUUAUAUAAUUAUAAAAUCCAAAGUUUUUAAAUAAAAUAUUAAAAUGAUAAUUAUUUAGUACAUUAAGUAUAGAAAGUUUCAACUUCAAAAUCCUUAGUUGUAUUUAAAAAAUUAAUAAAUAAAUACAUAGAACACGUGACAAAAUCUCAACACCACUACUACUUGACCCAUAUUAAAGUAACAAAAAAAUAUUAUAUUAAAUAAUAAGUAAAAUUAUAUUUUAUAAAAAUUCUAGAUAAUAGAGAAGGGUACAAAAAAUCAUUUUACUCUUUAAAGGAGUUCACGUUGAUUCAUCGAAACCCCUUAGCUUCGAUAUAUAUAAAGAGAAGGUUUCUCUUACAUGGUCGAUAGUGUCUCGUACUAUUUGUUAUCUGAUAAGGAUAUUAUGUCUCGCUGAACUUGUUGUAAAUUUUAAAUUGAAAUUUAAUACUAUUUUAUAAUCUAAUUAGUUACCACUUGGGUUUUAUUUGUAUGCAUUCAUCAGUGUCAUGUAGUGAAUAGUAGAUGUGGAUGGACAAACUUUUGUACCCAAAAAGGGAAUUUCAAAUGGUUAGAGCAAUAAACAGAUUAAGCAUAAGAUUAUGUAUCAUGCAUUAGACAAUAUUAGACGAUAUCCAUACUUAGAUCACGUCCUAAAUGGGUGAAAAUUUUCUAUAUAAAUAAGGUACUUCCGUAUGAACUAAUAAUAAUAAUAAUGCUCCUGCGAAUAUAUGGAAAAAAAAUUUGUAUGAAAUAGUUAUCUGUAUCUCUUUUUCAAUAGUUUAAUGUUACAUUAAUAUUUUCAUUUUGAAAAAAAUCAAAUCUAAAUGAAAAUCCUGAAAUUCGGGGUGAAACUAUUGAUGUGAUAUUAAACUAUUGGAAAGAGAUAAUAUCAUAUUUCAAACAAUCCUUUCUUGUGAUUAUAUAGGCCAUGAAAUAACAAAUUAUUUUAAGUUCUUGCAAACUCAAUUUCUCUCUAAUUCUUUUCUUUUAACAAAAAAAAAAUACGGUUAGACGUAAGAUUAUUUUAGUUUUUUGCACUUUAUUCACAUAGAACAUGUAUAUCAAAUUUCGAAUAAAUUAAAUUAUAAUAACUAAUUUUUUAUUAAAAAUUUUUACUGUUAAAAAUAUAUUCAUAAUGACAGUAUCUUUAUGGAUGGUAUAUAAAGAUAUAUUGGGUUGAUUUAAAAUUUUAUGUGAAUGAUAAAAAAUACCAUAUUGAUAAAUUCAAGUGCGUUAAAAUAUCAAUCUUAAAGAUUUGAGUCUAAACCUAGAAAACCUAGAAAAAUGUCAUUUUUAUAUUCUAUACAAAACCUAGAAAAAUGCACAUAAUAAAAUUUGAGUCUAAAACAUCCUAAUUUUCAAAAUCUUAACUUUAUCAUUUCAACCAAAGCUUCACAUCAUAUUUUUUUCACCCACAUAAUUGGUGUUCCAUAAUCAAUUCAAGUGGAUCCAGGAAUUGCAUUACACUAUCCAAUUGAGUUGCUAUUACCAUUUAACAAAACACCAACUCUAAAAGAUAAAAAAAUUUCUCUGACACAUUAAAAUUUGGACUUAAGAGACAUUAUAGUUUUUAGCAUCUAUAUUUUAUCAUUUAAAUUCAAGAAUCAUUUGUUUUUGUUACAUAAAUUUGAUACAAUGAAUGUAUUUAGUGUGUGUAUAUAUAUAAUUUUGUGGGAAGAAUCCCCAUUAGAUCCUUCAAUAUUUUGGCCAUGUUGUUGCAAUCAUGUUGAAAAAAACCGCAAAGUUCUCAUCAUCUUAAAGCACACCACUAAACUCCAAAAAAACUUUUGUUGGGAAACGAUGGAUGCAUAAAAAGGGGAAAAGAUAAUCCAAUAAUAUGUCCAGUAGAAAACAUGGCACAUGACUGCACCAGGUAGCGUCAGGAAUGUCUCAGAAAUUUGGGUAAUUCACUCCAUCUCUUUGCAACGGUUCAUGCACUGGGAAAAUACUACUGCAAUUUAUGGCGAAACAAUUGGGAAAUGACCCUCUGUAUUAUGUGAAUACUAAACAAUCCUACCAAGUCGAAACAAAAACACCCUAUUUUGAGCUCUGUCAAUAAUGGAGAUAAAGACUGUCACAUCAAAACUAUAUUGCAACAUUAUCCUUCAGGGAAUCUAGAACUUGAUCCAACACCUACACCAUAAUCAUGCACAUUUAUUUAUUUCUAUCCUUCUAGUUUACCAAACAUUUUAUUAAUUUAUAAUUUUAAAGUUAUUUUCAAAGGGAUUAAACCCAUUUUAGAGUGGGACAAGGCCCUACCUCCCUCAUUGUUGCCCUUACGUAUACUUUAAUUUGUCAAAAUUCAAUCCUCGUGCUUUACAGAAAUUGAGAAAUUAAUCUAAUUAUUGAUAAUCACCGUUAAUUUUUACUAAUUCAUCACAUAUAAAUUACUAAAUGGUUGAUUUCUAGGUCAAUGAUAAGACUUAAAAAGUAUUAUUCAGUUGAACUAAUUUCUCAAAUUUUCAUAAAAUACAAUGAGUAAAUUUUAACAAUUUAAAUAAAAGGGAUGAAAUUCUUAAUUAUACCAUAUAUAUUAUUAAAUGUUACAAUUUGAAUGGAUAAUUUACACAAAUCCCUUUACAUAUAUAGAUGAUAUUUAUCAUCAUCUGAUGCAGUAUCAAUUUUUUAUAGGACACCAAAGCUCUACAUUUAGACAAUAAUAAAGACUCAUAAAUUUUAAAAAAUAUACGAAAUUAAUUAUUGUGAGAGACACAACAAACACUUUGAUGAUAAAAAGGAAGACAUUUUUUUCCUCAUAGAAUGACUUAAUCUUUUCAAAAGCGUAAGUCAUUUUUUUGGAAAAGAACUCCUCAAUAAAUAAUUUUAUUUUUAUUUCAAAAAUUAACUUCAUACAAUUAUAUUUAUAAAAAAAUUUCUUAUCUAUGAUUGAUGUUAUUCCCAUUAUUUCGUGUAUUUUCUGUUAUUUUCCAACUUGUUUCGUUUUUUCAUCAUAUAUUUGUCACUAAUAUAAUGAUAUUUCUGUAUCAAUAGUUAAUAACCAACUUUUAAAAUGAUAUAUAUAUAUAUUUGUCACUGAUAUAAUUAUAAAUUAUUGUAAUUUAGGGUUUAAUAUUUGAGUUUUUAUUUUUUUAUUGUAAUUCAAUUGUUUGUUUAUAUAAAAAUGAUAUAUAUUAAAUAACUUAUAAAUAAUAUAAUAUUUUAUUUUGAGACCUUUAAUAUUUUAUAGUGACAUUAAAUCGUGAUGAAAUUAUUUUUUAUUUAAUUCUAUUUUUUUUAUAUAUAAUAUUCAAUUCGAGAUUUAAAAAAUUAUAAACCUAAUCUUUACAAUUCAACUGAACAAGCUUAAGUAAUAAUAAUAAUAAUAAUAAUAAUAAUAAUAAUAAUAAUAAUAAUAAUGAUGAUGAUGAUGAUAAUGAUAAUUCACAUGGUGAAGAUGAAAGUAACUAAAUAUUAUCCAAAUAAUUAAAUACUUGUGGAAUUAAUCCAAUAAUAAAUGUAGUAAUUACACCCAAUAUGAUGUAUCAAUGUUCCAAUUCUUAGCUUUAUUUAUUCUCUUGUUUUGCCCCUCAUUUUGUACCUAUAAAUUGCACCUUCCCAUAAUCCCAUUUCACACACCUUGAGACCAAACACAAACAUAUUACUGCUCACUAUAACCUAAUAGUGGAGUUGUUGAAAGAGAAAACAAAAAUGGAGGUAGCAUUCCCUAUUAUUGACUUGUCCACAAUCAAUGGUGAGGAGAGAGGAGCCACCAUGGACAUGAUCAAAGAUGCUUGUGAGAAUUGGGGUUUCUUUGAGGUACUAAAUGAAACUUUGAAUAUCAGUUCAUUAGUUGUUGUCAAUAAUGCUUCUCUGAAAUUUUACUGUAUUAUUAUUUUUUUCUUUGAAAAGCUGAUGAACCAUGGAAUAUCUCAUGAACUGAUGGACACUGUGGAGAAACUAACAAAUGAGCACUACAAAAAGUGCAUGAAGGAAAGGUUCAAAGAAAUGGUGACAAGUAAAGGUCUUAAAGUUGUUCAAUCUGAGAUAACUGGCAUGGAUUGGGAAAGCACUUUCUUCUUGCGCCACUUGCCUGAAUCAAACCUUUAUGAAAUUCUUGAUCUUGAAGAUGAUUACAGGUCAGUCAAAGUUACUGACUCUACUUUUUUUUCUUCACUUUUUAUGUUUUUCAAGUACUGAAAUUACUUUGAUACCAGGAAGGUGAUGAAACAAUUUGCAGUGGAGUUGGAGAAGCUGCCAGAGAAACUUUUAAAAAUAUUGUGUGAGAAUCUUGGGUUGGAACAGGGUUACCUGAAGAAAGUGUUUUAUGGUUCCAAAGGGCCAACUUUUGGUACCAAAGUUAGCAACUAUCCUCUAUGCCUUAAACCAAACCUAAUCAAGGGGCUAAGGGCUCACACUGAUGCUGGUGGAAUCAUAUUACUCUUCCAAGACGACAAGGUCAGUGGGCUUCAACUCCUCAAGGAUGACCAAUGAAUUGAUGUCCCUUCAUUGAAACACUCCAUUGUCAUCAACCUUGGUGACCAACUUGAGGUGAUCAGCAAUAUCAAGUACAAGAGUGUGAUGCACCGUGUGCUGGCUCAAACAGAUAGGACCCGAAUGUCUAUUGCUUCCUGUUACAACCGUGAAAGUGAUGUUGUUUUAUAUCCAGCACCUGCUUUGG